AGAUUAGGAGGAUGAACCUUGCAGAGAUCUUUCACCUAUGACAUAAAUUCUUUUUUCUUUGUGGUUGUCAUUCUUUUAGUAGCAGCUUCCUACAAUGAUAUGUUUUUCAAAUUAAUAUUAGCAGCACAACACUACAUAUGAAACAUGAUCAAUGAAAAAUUUAUAACAGAAGAACCAAACUUGCCAUCCACACAGAAAGCAUUGCAAGCAUCCACAGGAGAAAGCAUCUAAAUAAUUAGAGACCACAUACCCCUUUGCUCAAUUCUCCAAUUCUAGUAUAGACUCAAUAAAUCAUUAGCCAAACCUUUUUUGCAAUUUUAAAAGUUGAAAGAAACUAAUUGAGAAAAUGUAAAACUACAAGCAACAAAACAUGUGAUAAUUGAGAAGCUACAACCUGAAUUCGAAUUUUAAAAGUUGAAAGAAACUAAUCAGAAAAUGUUUAGAAACAAAAGAUGGAUCAAAUUAAUGAACUUGAUUUCUCUACUCCUGUCUCAUAUCAUAGAGCUUCUCCACAGAGAAUACAAGAGAAGAUGCAGUUAAACAACAAUUAGAGAUACUUGGUCAGUUCAAUAGUCCUCAUUCUCAUACAACAACAAAUAAUAAUAGUAAUGUUUCCAACACAAGUUUACAGCAACCUCCUUCUGCUAAGAGGAAAAGGAGCCUCCCAGGAAAUCCAGGUAAACUUUCUAACAACCUUCUAAGUUAAGUUGACUCCAUUUUUCUCAUUUAAUUGGUUCCUAGUUUUCAUUUUUGUUUAUUUUCUUGCUUUGUGAGCUUUACUAGUUUAAGUAACACUUCCUUAGUAAGGGUUUUGCAAGUUUUUUCUCUCUAGAAUUCAAACAGAUAAUCAAGUAAAGUUGGAGUCAGAAAUGAUUAUUGAUAUCCAUGAGCUGCAUAUGCUAAUACCUAGCUAGAAUAAUAUAACAAAUUAAAACUAUGGUAUCUUUCCUUUAUGAAAAAACGAAUGAGCAUAUAUUUCUUCAUCAUUUCUCAUUGAUUCUUAAAAUGAAACAAUGAUGUAGAGUUUGCUUGUAUAUUUGCUCAAAACGAGCUUGUGAAAAAGUUUCCCUGUUAAUUAGAAUACAUUUGUUCUGUCACAAAAUUAAUUAGAAUACAUUUGAUACAAGCCAUGAAGAUAUAUAGUCAAGCUAUACCUGGAUUUGAAACGGGAUUCGAGCGAUGGAAGGUUGAAGUUGGAUUGAGUGAUUGAUGCUGGAUUUGAACAAAUGAAGUUGAAUUUAGGGCGAUUUGAACGAAAAUAUGUAUUUGGAGGGAUUUGAAUGAAUGGAGCGAAUUUCAGUGAUUGAAGAUGAAUUUUAGCGAUUGAAGCUGCAUUUGAAGUGAAUAACACAGAAGAUUUGAGUGAUUUAGCCGAUUU
rnacentral:lncRNA from 1 species